rnacentral:lncRNA from 1 species
ACAGUACAGGGAUAAAAAAAAAGGACAAAAUAAAACAACCAGCGUUCCCUACUCCAUCUCUGUCCUUGCGUCGCACACGCUGAGAGCCGGAGGGAGCACAUGCAGGCUCUGCUGAAGUGGGAGCAGCUGCAACAGUGAGUGGUAAGUUUCACUCACCAACUUUUCCUCCACCCGCUUCUUCCUCCCUGCAACAAUUCCUCCGCCAGCUCUUUCCUCCCUACAACAAUGGCUUCCCUCUCUCUCUAAAGAACUACUCGUAUGUAUGCACACAGCUUCCAAGAUUCAGAGGCAGGGGGCGGAUCAAUCAGUCGGCGAGUGACGGAAACACCCAAACCGGUGGCGGCCACUUCCAGAGCAAGUCCCUGGCGGCGCCGCGCGGCGGCCUGUAGCUCCCGUCGGCGAGGUCCAGCACGCCCACAUCCGGCGGGACCAGUGGCGGACCCAGAAUUUUAUCACAGGGUAUGCCGCACAAAAAAAAAUCUUACGCAAUUCGAUAAAACCCCUUCCAAUUUGGUAAAAACAAUGUGCAUUAAAUAAUAUGAUAAGUCUUAAAUUUAAAGAUUAGCUAAAAAUUAUAACAAAUUAUGAUAUAAAGAAAAGAAAUACAAAUAAUUCGAAAUAGUAGCCAUAAAAGAGACAUACAACAAGAUGGGAUGAAAAGAUAGCAAAAGAAAGGAUGAAAUAUUUAUUUAUAGUUAUAAUAUCUAGAGGGGAUAAAAAAUAAAAAUAAAGACACAUAGGUGUCAUGGGAUACAACAUGAUGGGAUAAAAAUAAUAUAAAAACUAAUCCAUACUUAAUUUUAAAAGUUACAAAAGAAAAUAGAAAAUUAAAAUGUCAUUGCAUAUAGCUAUUAAUAAGUGAUAAUAAAACGAAUUCGAGGUUAUAUUAUUUUUAUUUAUUAUUUCAUUUCAUGAGGUGUCUCAUAGGAAACAACAACUUAGGAUGAAUAAAAUCAGAAAAUGAAGACAAAAAUAGGUAAUUUUUAAAGGGGCAAAAAAAAAGAGAAUAAAGAAAUGGGAAACAGAAAAUGAAGACGAAAAUUGCAGCUGCAAAGGUUUGAACUGGUGACCUCUUGAUUAAGAACCAAAAGACAUACCAUUGAGCU